UGAGGAAUAUUGCACAAUGGGCGAAAGCCUGAUGCAGCGACGCCGCGUGGAGGAUGAAGGUUUUCGGAUUGUAAACUCCUGUUAAGUGGGAAAAAAGACUCGUCUUUAAUAGGGACGAGGGAUGAUGGUACCACUAAAGAAAGCACCGGCUAACUUCGUGCCAGCAGCCGCGGUAAUACGAGGGGUGCAAACGUUAUUCGGAAUCAUUGGGCGUAAAGGGUACGUAGACGGCGAAAUAAGUCAGUUAUUAAAUCUUCCAGCUUAACUGGAAACUUGUAGCUGAAACUGAUUUGCUUGAGGAUGGAAGAGAGAAGCGGAAUUCUCGGAGUAGCGGUAAAAUGCGUAGAUCUCGAGAGGAACACCGAUGGCGAAGGCAGCUUCUUGGUCCAUUUCUGACGUUGAGGUACGAAAGCGUGGGGAGCAAACAGG
rnacentral:rRNA from 1 species